GGCUUGUUAGCUCAGUUGGUAGAGCACUGCAUCGGAGUUGCAGAGGUCAUGGGUUCAAAUCCCAUACAGGUGU
rnacentral:tRNA from 1 species